rnacentral:lncRNA from 1 species
CAAUGGAUUAGUUCGAUCCAAAACUUGAGAUAAUGGGUGUAGGCCAAAGAUUCAUGUGGUUGUUAAUGAAGUUGAAGUUACCAAAUUUGGAGGAGUCGGUAUUAAUUUAUGCCUGAUUGCUCCACAUAUAGUUCCUCGAACCGCAUUUUCUAAACGAACAAGAGCCAAUCCGAAUUGAUCCUGUAACAGGUCUGCUACAGAACGAAUAUGCUUAUUUUUCAAGUGAUUCAUAUCGUCAAGUGUACCCAUUCCAAAUUUCAUUCCGAUCAAAUGAUCCGCAGCAGCCAAUACAUCUCGUGGUAACAAAAAUGUAUUGUUCCAUGCGUUCACCAAGGGGCAUUCACGAUAGAAUCAUGGAAGCGUUUACCGAACCCGAGGUCUUUGAUCCUUUCUCUCUCAAGCCAUCAAAUAGAACUAUGGCUUUAGCAGUGAUGAUUGGGGUGGUCGUUUUCUCUCAGUCUGGCAUUGGGUUAAGAGAAAAAAAACUUGAGUGAGGAAGGGGCUGACAGUCACAGGCUCGUUCUUCUUAUGUUAUGGCGGGGAAACUCUCACUCGAAACAAAGAAACUCGGCUCGAGUAAGCAUCCUUCCCCGAGCCCAAAAAUAGCCCUUUUCUUUUUAGCUAGCUAGAAAACUAGCCGACUCUAUACACGAAUAUCUUCUUUCUUAUCCCACUCUGUCUCUCUUUUAUCGCUUACGCCUCAUACUUACCGAUCUUCUACCCAUAGGCGGAGCGAAGAAAUUGAUCUUUCUGCAGAAUUCAUCCCUUGAUGAUGAGCUGACAUGUGGCCGUGGCGGCUUCAAGAGGCACCUUUUAAGUUAUGAUAAUCCUUCCCGCCGUGAGCUCAUUCAGCAGCCAAUCUUUGAAAGCCCAGCAAUCUUCAAUCGAAUGGCUGAUGAGGCGAUGAUAUGGACAGUCAUUUUCAUUUUCAAUCUGUCCCACCUUAUCAGGUCUCUUGAUCUUCGGGAGGACAACCUUUCCUACCUUCAUAAGCUGUUGGAAGAGCCUCGCCACCAUAUCCCUUCGAAAAGGGUAGGGUUUGGUUUCUCUUGCCUCUCUUUGAUCGAAGGCCUUGGUUUCUUCACCCGAACCACGAGGUUCUCUUCGGCCUGGCCGACAGAUUUGGAUGGCAGAGCCGGGUCAAUCGAUAGACCAGUUUCGAAUAAGGCCGCUUUCAACCUAAUUUUCGCACUUUUCGCUUUAGUUAUAAAAUAUAUGUUCAUUUCACCUUCGGUGACUUUUCGUAAUAGUUAGGUUCAACAGUCGAUCAGAAGAGGUAUUUUCUCUCCCUCACUCCUUUCCUUUCGCUUAUGAGACUGAUCCACUGACCUUGCUUGCCUACUUCCGAGAUGAAACAAGUCAAAGGCGUAGAAGGACGAACUCAUAGCUACCAAUGCUUCAUCGCAACCAACUACCUUUGCUCCAGCUUCUUCUGCGGAUGCUGCUUCUCCUCUUUGCUUGACAACUGUCACUACUCUUUAGUGAGCUAACUUGGGAUAAAUGCAACAAGAUGAUGCUGAUUCAUUACUUUCUGUCGAUCUUCUUCAUACAAGUUGUUCAGAAAGUCUAAAGAGAAGACUGUGGGCGACUUCUCUUUG